UACGAAGGGGGCUAGCGUUGUUCGGAAUCACUGGGCGUAAAGCGCACGUAGGCGGAUCUUUAAGUCAGGGGUGAAAUCCCGAGGCUCAACCUCGGAACUGCCUUUGAUACUGGGGAUCUCGAGUCCGGGAGAGGUGAGUGGAACUGCGAGUGUAGAGGUGAAAUUCGUAGAUAUUCGCAAGAACACCAGUGGCGAAGGCGGACUCACUGGCCCGGUACUGACGCUGAGGUGCGAAAGCGUGGGGAGCAAACAGGG
rnacentral:rRNA from 1 species